UACGUAGGGUGCAAGCGUUGUCCGGAAUUAUUGGGCGUAAAGAGCUCGUAGGCGGUCUGUCACGUCGGACGUGAAAAUCCAGGGCUCAACCCUGGACCUGCGUUCGAUACGGGCAGACUAGAGUUCGGUAGGGGAGACGUGGAAUUCCUGGUGUAGCGGUGAAAUGCGCAGAUAUCAGGAGGAACACCGGUGGCGAAGGCGGGUCUCUGGGCCGAAACUGACGCUGAGGAGCGAAGGCCAGGGGAGCAAACGGG
rnacentral:rRNA from 1 species